rnacentral:rRNA from 1 species
GACGAACGCUGGCGGCGUGCCUAAUACAUGCAAGUCGAGCGGAAUGAUGAAGAAGCUUGCUUCUUCUGAUUUUAGCGGCGGACGGGUGAGUAACACGUGGGCAACCUACCUUGUAGAUUGGGAUAACUCCGGGAAACCGGGGCUAAUACCGAAUAAUCCAUUUUGCUUCAUGGCGAGAUGUUGAAAGACGGUUUCGGCUGUCACUACAAGAUGGGCCCGCGGCGCAUUAGCUAAUUGGUAGGGUAAUGGCCUACCAAGGCGACGAUGCGUAGCCGACCUGAGAGGGUGAUCGGCCACACUGGGACUGAGACACGGCCCAGACUCCUACGGGAGGCAGCAGUAGGGAAUCUUCCACAAUGGACGAAAGUCUGAUGGAGCAACGCCGCGUGAGUGAAGAAGGUUUUCGGAUCGUAAAACUCUGUUGUAAGGGAAGAACACGUACGAGAGUAACUGCUCGUACCUUGACGGUACCUUAUUAGAAAGCCACGGCUAACUACGUG